rnacentral:rRNA from 1 species
GAUGAACGCUGGCGGCGUGCCUAAUACAUGCAAGUCGAGCGAACAGACGAGGAGCUUGCUCCUCUGACGUUAGCGGCGGACGGGUGAGUAACACGUGGAUAACCUACCUAUAAGACUGGGAUAACUUCGGGAAACCGGAGCUAAUACCGGAUAAUAUAUUGAACCGCAUGGUUCAAUAGUGAAAGACGGUUUUGCUGUCACUUAUAGAUGGAUCCGCGCCGCAUUAGCUAGUUGGUAAGGUAACGGCUUACCAAGGCAACGAUGCGUAGCCGACCUGAGAGGGUGAUCGGCCACGCUGGAACUGAGACACGGUCCAGACUCCUACGGGAGGCAGCAGUAGGGAAUCUUCCGCAAUGGGCGAAAGCCUGACGGAGCAACGCCGCGUGAGUGAUGAAGGUCUUCGGAUCGUAAAACUCUGUUAUUAGGGAAGAACAAAUGUGUAAGUAACUAUGCACGUCUUGACGGUACCUAAUCAGAAAGCCACGGCUAACUACGUGCCAGCCGCCGCGGUAAUAC